UACGAAGGGGGCUAGCGUUGUUCGGAAUUACUGGGCGUAAAGCGCACGUAGGCGGAUAUUUAAGUCAGGGGUGAAAUCCCAGAGCUCAACUCUGGAACUGCCUUUGAUACUGGGUACCUCGAGUAUGGAAGAGGUGAGUGGAAUUCCGAGUGUAGAGGUGAAAUUCGUAGAUAUUCGGAGGAACACCAGUGGCGAAGGCGGCUCACUGGUCCAUUACUGACGCUGAGGUGCGAAAGCGUGGGGAGCAAACAGG
rnacentral:rRNA from 1 species